CCAACACUGCAUCCUUCAUCUGCGGAAUCCGUGCUCUGGCGUCUCUCCCGUUCCCUGGCAGUGACUGAGCAGUUGCCUCUACAGGUUCUCUGAGGCCCCUGCUCAAGGAAACUGGACCUCACGGCAAACAGCUUGGUUCUCUCAUACACGUACUUCAUCCUAGCCUUCAGGCAAAGAUAUGCCCACCAGCAUUUCAUAUGAAAAAGAGAAACAAUUCAAACUGUAAAGCUGAAGCAGAGCCAAAAUGAGCAAGAAAAGGAGGAAAGACUACAUGGAGGAGGGAAAACACCAGAGAAAAGAUCUGCUUUGUGAAGAAAGUGUCUCACAUGGUUCUAAUCCAGAAAUCAGAAUCAUCAGCCAGAUUAACAGCAGGGUCCUGGGGCUGGAGACUGGAGACGCUUGGUUCUACCCCCUACCGACCUUGAGCACGCUGCUUAAUCCCUGUCCGUCAUGCUGUGAGCUUUAAAUAAAGUAACACGCAUAAAAUGCCCAGCAGUGCUUCUGUCGUUUGAUAAGCCGUGGGUAACCAUCUGCAGGAGUCUGGAGGUUCUCUGAUGACUUCGUGGCAUGACAGAGUCAGUUAUUAUUGUGGAAGUUAUCACUAUGGAGAUGGCAAGGCUGAAGCUAACUGGGAGGAGCAAGACUUGAAUCAAGGAAACCAGAUAGAGGCUGCUGCAAUAAUCCAGGCAAGAAAUGCCAUUGAACUAUACGGCAACAGAUAGUGGGAAAGAAGAAGCAAGAAACACUAAAGAGAUACUGUAUAAUAUGUAUACCGAGAUCACCAUUUGGCUCCAGGAGUUGGAGAGAUACACGUAGGUUCCAGGCCUGGAUGGCAUUCUGUUAAGGCAGGGUAUAGUAAAAGGAUGAGUUCCCGAAUCUCAAGCACCUGCACACGUCAAAGAGGAAGUGCCCGACAAGCAGUGCACUAGAACUCAGGAAAGGCUGGACUGCGGCGAUGCCACUCGGCAGCCCAGGGACGGUCAGUGUCAAGGAAGCAGAUGACACACUUGAUUUUACCCUUUUUCAGUCAAAGGUCUGGCCUGCCCCAGACCAGGGUUCAUCAUCAGACGCAGCUCUGAACAUUGGAGGGAAAUCACACUGAAGAUUUCGACCUGGAAGUUCAUUGCCAAGUUUGCUGCAGAUGGCGAAUGUCUCAGUUAGCUGUUGUUUGCUAAGUGAUCUGGGUAAAACCACGAACACGGUCCCUGACGCCACGUUUCCCAUCACGUGUUGCACAACUGCCAGCAAGAGACCCUUCCUUUGGCUCUGGGGGACUU
ensembl:lncRNA